GGCAGCAUAUAGAUUGCUUGCAAUCUAUGAUGGCGACCGGCGCACGGGUGAGUAACGCGUAUCCAACCUACCCAUUACUAGGGAAUAACCCAGCGAAAGUUGGCCUAAUGCCCUAUGUAGUCGUUUGAUCGCCUGAGAUUUCGACGAAAGAUUUAUCGGUAUUGGAUGGGGAUGCGUCUGAUUAGCUUGUUGGCGGGGUAAAGGCCCACCAAGGCAACGAUCAGUAGGGGUUCUGAGAGGAAGGUCCCCCACAUUGGAACUGAGACACGGUCCAAACUCCUACGGGAGGCAGCAGUGAGGAAUAUUGGUCAAUGGGCGAGAGCCUGAACCAGCCAAGUAGCGUGCAGGAUGACGGCCCUAUGGGUUGUAAACUGCUUUUAUAUGGGAAUAAAGUGAGGGACGUGUCCCUUAUUGCAUGUACCAUAUGAAUAAGGACCGGCUAAUUCCGUGCCAGCAGCCGCGGUAAUACGGAAGGUCCAGGCGUUAUCCGGAUUUAUUGGGUUUAAAGGGAGCGUAGGCUGUUUGUUAAGCGUGUUGUGAAAUGUAAGAGCUCAACUUUUAGAUUGCAGCGCGAACUGGCAGACUUGAGUGCGCACAACGUAGGCGGAAUUCAUGGUGUAGCGGUGAAAUGCUUAGAUAUCAUGACGAACUCCGAUUGCGAAGGCAGCUUACGGGAGCGCAACUGACG
rnacentral:rRNA from 1 species